rnacentral:rRNA from 1 species
GAUGAACGCUGGCGGCGUGCCUAAUACAUGCAAGUCGAGCGAACGGACGAGAAGCUUGCUUCUCUGAUGUUAGCGGCGGACGGGUGAGUAAUACGUGGAUAACCUACCUAUAAGACUGGGAUAACUUCGGGAAACCGGAGCUAAUACCGGAUGAUAUUUUGAACCGCAUGGUUCAAAAGUGAAAGACGGUCUUGCUGUCACUUAUAGAUGGAUCCGCGCUGCAUUAGCUAGUUGGUAAGGUAACGGCUUACCAAGGCAACGAUGCAUAGCCGACCUGAGAGGGUGAUCGGCCACACUGGAACUGAGACACGGUCCAGACUCCUACGGGAGGCAGCAGUAGGGAAUCUUCCACAAUGGGCGAAAGCCUGACGGAGCAACGCCGCGUGAGUGAUGAAGGUCUUCGGAUCGUAAAACUCUGUUAUUAGGGAAGAACAUAUGUGUAAGUAACUGUGCACAUCUUGACGGUACCUAAUCAGAAAGCCACGGCUAACUACGUG